rnacentral:rRNA from 1 species
UGGGUAAUCUACCUCUUUGUGGGGAAUAACGAUGGGAAACCGUCGCUAAUACCGCAUAAGCCUGAGAAGGGAAAGCAGCAAUGCGCUGAGAGAGGAGCCCGCGGCCGAUUAGCUAGUUGGUGAGGUAACGGCCCACCAAGGCAAAGAUCGGUAGCCGGCCUGAGAGGGCACACGGCCACACUGGCACUGAAACACGGGCCAGACUCCUACGGGAGGCAGCAGUGGGGAAUCUUGCACAAUGGGGGAAACCCUGAUGCAGCGACGCCGCGUGAGCGAUGAAGCCCUUCGGGGUGUAAAGCUCUUUCGGCAGGGAAGAUAAUGACGGUACCUGCAGAAGCAGCUGCGGCUAACUACGUGCCAGCAGCCGCGGUAAUACGUAGGCAGCAAGCGUUGUUCGGAGUUACUGGGCGUAAAGGGUGUGUAGGCGGCUUUUUAAGUUUGGUGUGAAAUCUCCCGGCCCAACCGGGAGGGUGCGCCGAAUACUGAGAGGCUAGAGUACGGGAGAGGAAAGUGGAAUUCCUGGUGUAGCGGUGAAAUGCGUAGAUAUCAGGAGGAACACCGGUGGUGUAGACGGCUUUCUGGACCGUAACUGACGCUGAGACACGAAAGCGUGGGUAGCAAACAGGAUUAGAUACCCUGGUAGUCCACGCCCUAAACGAUGCAUAUUUGGUGUGGGUCAUUCAGUUGAUCCGUGCCGGAGCUAACGCGUUAAAUAUGCCGCCUGGGGAGUACAGUCGCAAGGCUGAAACUCAAAGGAAUUGACGGGGGCCCGCACAAGCGGUGGAGCAUGUGGUUCAAUUCGACGCAACGCG